CAUCAAGGAUUAUUCGCCUAAGGAUGAGCCUGCGUUAGAUUAGCUUGUUGGUGAGGUAACGGCUCACCAAGGCGACGAUCUAUAGCCGAGUUGAGAGGCUGAUCGGCCACAUUGGAACUGAGACACGGUCCAGACUCCUACGGGAGGCAGCAGCUAAGAAUCUUCCGCAAUGGGCGCAAGCCUGACGGAGCGACGCCGCGUGAACGAUGAAGGCCUUUCGGGUUGUAAAGUUCUUUUAUAAGAGACGAAUGUCUGGUGUAGGCCAGACUGACUGUAUCUUUUGAAUAAGGUCCGGCUAACUACGUGCCAGCAGCCGCGGUAAUACGUAGGGACCAAGCGUUGUUCGGAAUUAUUGGGCGUAAAGGGUACGUAGGCGGCAUGAUAAGUCAGAUGUGAAACCCUCGGGCUCAACCUGAGGCCUGCGUCUGAUACUGUUGUGCUAGAGUUACUGAGAGGAAGACGGAAUUCCUGGUGUAGGGGUGAAAUCUAUAGAUAUCAGGAAGAACACCUAUUGCGAAGGCAGUCUUCUGGCAGCUAACUGACGCUGAUGUACGACAGUUAGGGUAGCAAACAGGAUUAGAGACCCUGGUAGUCCUACCCGUAAACGUUGUAUAACUAGGUGGUUGCAGUAUUGAUCCUUUGACUGCCGGAGCUAACGCAUUAAGUAUACCGCCUGGGGAAUAUGCCGGCAACGGUGAAACUCAAAGGAAUUUACGGGGGCCCGCACAAGCAGUGGAGCAUGUUGUUUAAUUCGAAGAUACGCGAGAUACCUUACCAGGUCUUGACAUAUACCUGAAUGGUGUGGAAACACAUCCGCCCCUCGGGGCAGGUAUACAGGUGCUGCAUGGUUGUCGUCAGCUCGUGCCGUGAGGUGUUGGGUUAAGUCCCGCAACGAGCGCAACCCUUAUUCUUUGUUGCUAACAGGUUAAGCUGAGCACUCUAAGAAGACUGCCGGUGACAAACCGGAGGAAGGUGGGGAUGACGUCAAAUCAUCA
rnacentral:rRNA from 1 species